rnacentral:rRNA from 1 species
UGGGGAAUAUUGCACAAUGGGCGAAAGCCUGAUGCAGCAACGCCGCGUGAGUGAUGAAGGUCUUCGGAUUGUAAAGCUCUGUCUUUUGGGACGAUAAUGACGGUACCAAAGGAGGGAGCCACGGCUAACUACGUGCCAGCAGCCGCGGUAAUACGUAGGUGGCGAGCGUUGUCCGGAUUUACUGGGCGUAAAGGGUGCGUAGGCGGAUGUUUAAGUGAGAUGUGAAAUACCCGGGCUUAACUUGGGUGCUGCAUUUCAAACUGGAUAUCUAGAGUGCAGGAGAGGAGAAUGGAAUUCCUAGUGUAGCGGUGAAAUGCGUAGAGAUUAGGAAGAACACCAGUGGCGAAGGCGAUUCUCUGGACUGUAACUGACGCUGAGGCACGAAAGCGUGGGUAGCAAACAGGAUUAGAUACCCUGGUAGUCCACGCCGUAAACGAUGAGUACUAGGUGUAGGAGGUAUCGACCCCUUCUGUGCCGCAGUAAACACAUUAAGUACUCCGCCUGGGAAGUACGAUCGCAAGAUUAAAAC